GACGAACGCUGGCGGCGUGCCUAAUACAUGCAAGUAGAACGCAGUUGCGAACGGGUGAGUAACGCGUAGGUAACUGCCUCAUAGCGGGGGAUAACUAUUGGAAACGAUAGCUAAUACCGCAUACUGUGAGAUGGAACUGCGUUGUAUUAGCUAGUUGGUGAGGUAAAGGCUCACCAAGGCGACGAUACAUAGCCGACCUGAGAGGGUGAUUCGCCCCACUGGUACUGGGCACCGGCCCAGACUUCUACGAGAUGCAGCAGUAGUGAAUCUUCGGCAAUGGAAGAAAGGCUGGCCGGGCAACGCCGCGUGAAUGAAGAAGGUUUUCGGAUCGUACAGCCAUGUUAUUAGUGAGGCGGUGACUAACCAGAAACGCACGGCUAACUACGUGCCAGCAGCCGCGGUAAUUC
rnacentral:rRNA from 1 species